AUUGAACGCUAGCGGGAGGCUUUACACAUGCAAGUCGAACGAGUGGCGGACGGGUGAGUAAUAUAUCGGAACGUGCCCAGUAGCGGGGGAUAACUACUCGAAAGAGUAGCUAAUCCCGCAUACUAUUGGAGCUGCCGAGAUCGGAUUAGCUAGUGGGUGGGGUAACGGCUCACCAAGGCAACGAUCCGUAGCUGGUUUGAGAGGAUGACCAGCCACACGGGGACUGAGACACGGUCCAGACUCCUACGGGAUGCAGCAGUGGGGAAUUUUGGCAAAUGGGGGAAACCCUGAUCCAGCCAUGCCGCGUGUAUGAGAAGGCCUUCGGGUUGUAAAGUACUUUGGGCAGGGAAGCGGUACCUGCAGAAGAAGCACCGGCUAACUACGUGCCAGCAGCCGCGGUAAUUC
rnacentral:rRNA from 1 species